UGUUGAGACCCAGGCGGAGGUUCCUGCUGACCCAGGCUCUCAUCAGCACAUCGUCCUUUACUGUCCUCCUGAGGGUGUCUGGAGCUUCAGUGCUGUGUGCUCUUGGCGUCCAUGCUGGAGCACCACCGACUCCUGCUGUCCAGGGCUUCCGGUGGACUCUCCGAGGCACUGAUGUAGAAUCUUCCCCAUUCGGCUGCACCAAGAGCAGCCUCACGCGGUGUGGGCUGACGUGAAGAGCUGCCAGAUCCAACAGAAAUUGGAUUGGUAACAUUGAAGAGACACUUCUCACCUGCCUGAAAUGCCCUUCAUUAUCUUCUUCAAGUUGCAAGGGCUCUGGAACAGCCCUUACAGUGCUCCCAUUAAGGGAGCCUUGGGAGGAGCCUGAAUC